GUUGGGUCCCUGUUAUAAGCAAGUGCAAGGUCGUGGACUCAAAGUGAUCAGAGAACCAGAAUGGCUCAAUUCAGCAGAAGGACCACAGACUGAUGCCAAGCAGAUGUGACUUCACAUGCUGGGGUUGACAGACUGAUGCCAAACAGACGUGACUUCACAUGCUGGUGUUGACGUGUAUUCAUGACAUUUGAGACUCAGUUCUCUUUUUUCUAAAAGAGGAUGACAAGUUCUUACCUGUGUGGUUGUUGGGAGGAUUAAAAUUUUGGGCCUAGUGCCUAACAAAGUACUGAGCAAAUGUUAGCUAUUGCUGAUGCUGUUCUACUGUAACUGUGAGUUUUAACUUAUGAAGAUGAUGGCAAUGAUAAAGUCUGGCCAAUAGUCCUGGGCAGAGUGGGCCAAGUCCAUCAGACCGGCAAAGGCUGGGGCCAGGGAUGCAAGGAGCUCCAGCGGACCCUUUCCAGGAGUUUAGCCUUCGAUUCUAGGAAAUGCAAUAAAGUAAGCCCAGGACAGAUGCUGGCGUCGGGCUGCCGUAGGGUGAGCAGACGAGUCAUCCUGGCUUAGAGGGAUGUGGAGGGUGGAUUCCACUGGGCUAUAAAAUCUAUGAGUAGAAAGAGGCGUGGGCUGGUUUUGUUGCCUUUUCUAAAUUGUGCUGUUUGCACUGAGUUCUGUUUCAGUGAAUCCUGAGAGAGCCUCUGUCUAGAGACCAGAGUGAGACGAUGGAGGAGGUGGGAGGUAGAGGCCCCGCGGCCGCCUCUUCCUGGGCCUGCAGCGCCCUCUUGUGGCUCAGAGCCAGAGCAUCCACUCCAGGAUUCUGCAGGUGCUGCUGCAGAAGGGGUGCUCCUGGGCUUCCCACCCUCCUAGGGGCUGUGCUGUGUGGCUUCUCUUUGGAACCCGGAGCCCUGAGAGAGAAGGAAGAGGAGGGAAGACCUCCCGUCGUGUUCCAAGAUGGGCGCCUGUGAUGGACCUCAGGUGUGCUAACUGGCCAGAUGACCUGCAAUUAUCUGCCUAGGCUCUUUGAGCCUGGGUCCUCAUAGCUGUGUUAUGAGAUGAAAGAAGGCAGACAGUGUACCUGGAAGCACCUUGUUUUCUGACACCCAGUAGUUUCACAUUAAAAAUUAGUUAUCUUGCCUUCAAUAUUUUCCUUUCUCUGCUAGAUAAAAUUGCUAAAAUCCAGAGAAGUGAGCCUUCUGUUCUUUUAAUAGAUGCUAGUCCAG
rnacentral:lncRNA from 1 species